GUCCACGCCCUAAACGAUGGCCACUGGGUGUUGGGGAAGCGAUUCCUUGGUACCGCAGCUAACGCGUGAAGUGGCCCGCCUGGGGAGUACGGCCGCAAGGUUAAAACUCAAAGGAAUUGACGGGGACCCGCACAAGCGGUGGAUGAUGUGGAUUAAUUCGAUGCAACGCGAACAACCUUACCUACCCUUGACAUGUCCGGAACCCUGCUGAGAGGUGGGGGUGCCCGAAAGGGAAUCGGAACACAGGUGCUGCAUGGCUGUCGU
rnacentral:rRNA from 1 species